rnacentral:miRNA from 1 species
UGAGGACAGGGCAAAUUCACGA